rnacentral:rRNA from 1 species
AGCGCAACCCUUAUCUUCAGUUGCUACCAUUUAGUUGAGCACUCUGACGAAACCGCCUCGGAUAACGGGGAGGAAGGUGGGGAUGACGUCAAGUCCUCAUGGCCUUUAUGUCCAGGGCUACACACGUGCUACAAUGGCCGGUACAAACCGCUGCAACCCCGCGAGGGUGAGCUAAUCGGAAAAAGCCGGCCUCAGUUCGGAUUGGAGUCUGCAACUCGACUCCAUGAAGCUGGAAUCGCUAGUAAUCGUGGAUCAGCAUGCCACGGUGAAUACGUUCCCGGGCCUUGCACACACCGCCCGU